rnacentral:rRNA from 1 species
UCCCUACGGGACGAGCAGUGGGGAAUAUUGGGCAAUGGGCGCAAGCCUGACCCAGCAACGCCGCGUGAAGGAAGAAGGCCCUCGGGUUGUAAACUUCUUUUAUUCGGGACGAAACAAAUGACGGUACCGAACGAAUAAGCCACGGCUAACUACGUGCCAGCAGCCGCGGUAAUACGUAGGUGGCAAGCGUUAUCCGGAUUUACUGGGUGUAAAGGGCGUGUAGGCGGGGGCGCAAGUCAGACGUGAA